GAUGAACGCUGGCGGCGUGCUUAACACAUGCAAGUCGAACGGUGAAGGCGGAGCUUGCUCUGCUGGAUCAGUGGCGAACGGGUGAGUAACGCGUGAGCAAUCUGCCCCUGACUCUGGGAUAAGCGCUGGAAACGGCGUCUAAUACUGGAUACGAGCUGCGAAGGCAUCUUCAGCAGCUGGAAAGAAUUUCGGUCAGGGAUGAGCUCGCGGCCUAUCAGCUUGUUGGUGAGGUAAUGGCUCACCAAGGCGUCGACGGGUAGCCGGCCUGAGAGGGUGACCGGCCACACUGGGACUGAGACACGGCCCAGACUCCUACGGGAGGCAGCAGUGGGGAAUAUUGCACAAUGGGCGAAAGCCUGAUGCAGCAACGCCGCGUGAGGGACGACGGCCUUCGGGUUGUAAACCUCUUUUAGCAGGGAAGAAGCGAAAGUGACGGUACCUGCAGAAAAAGCGCCGGCUAACUACGUG
rnacentral:rRNA from 1 species